ACGAAACAUCCUCUGAUUUGAUACCCUGGCAGAAAAGGGCCCAUUCUCGUUUGUAUGAAUGUAUCCUUCAAAUGCAAGUUUAACAAAUAAAAUUUUAAAUAAUGUCAUCUUAAGCAUCUUCAAGUCCAGUCACUGAGCUCAUCAUUUAAAGACAGUCUGACAAAACAAACCGACCAUUCUUUGUACAAUUGUACCAUUAUUCCUCUGUGUGUUUUAGUGUCGCAAUCAUCACAACAGAAAAGUUAAAACUUAAAACCCUACAUUCACUGUUAAAAGUAAACUAUCAUCACAACAAAGAAAAUUCAACCUAAAACAUGCAAUCAUCAAUGCCAGUUCUAAGCUUAAAACCAUCAAAUAAGCUUUAAAAAAGGCAUUAUUUUCUCAGGAUUGCUUUCACUGCGUAUGGAUGAUACUUACCGUGAUUGUAGAGAAUGGCCGGUACAGCAAUGUAGAAGAGAAGCCAAAAUGCAAUGCCUCACUGCCUCAUAGAUGAAGAAAAGUUGAGAAGAUUAAUGAAGAAGAAAAGUUAGAUGAGGAAAAUACGUAAGAUCGCCGCGGUUUGGCGGUGGGGAAGAACGUGAUUUUCUCUGUUUGUCAAAGUCCAACUGCGUGACUGGAUCGAUGCUCGUCAUACCCAAAAUAUUUAUUCAAAAAAAUAUAAUGAAUUGUACUCCGUAACAACUUUUGCAUAUGUGGCGGUUGGCUUGGUCUUCUGAUAUUAGUUGGUCAUAGAUUGCAUUUAUUGUGGUUUAAUAUUGUAAUUUUGUGGUUAUUAAGUUAACUGUUUAGUUAAUUUGAAUAGGUUGUCUUAUCA